rnacentral:rRNA from 1 species
UUUCGCAAUGCCCGAAAGGGUGACGAAGCGACGCCGCGUGUGGGAAGAAGGCCUUCGGGUUGUAAACCACUGUCGGGAGUUAGGAAAUGUAAGGGUGCUAAUAGUAUCCUUACUUGACUAAGGCUCCGGAGGAAGCCACGGCUAACUCUGUGCCAGCAGCCGCGGUAAUACAGAGGCGGCAAGCGUUGUUCGGAAUUAUUGGGCGUAAAGAGCACGUAGGCGGCCUUGUAAGUCAGUUGUGAAAGCCUUCUGCUUAACGGAAGAACAGCAGCUGAUACUGCAAGGCUAGAGUGCGGAAGGGGAGAGUGGAACUUCUGGUGGAGCGGUGAAAUGCGUAGAUAUCAGAAGGAACACCAGCGGCGAAGGCGACUCUCUGGUCCGUAACUGACGCUGAGUGUGCGAAAGCUAGGGGAGCAAACGGGAUUAGAUACCCCGGUAGUCCUAGCCGUAAACGAUGGGCACUAAGUAGAGGGGUUUUA